CCUACGGGAGGCAGCAGUGGGGAAUAUUGGACAAUGGGCGAAAGCCUGAUCCAGCAAUGCCGCGUGAGUGAUGAAGGCCUUCGGGUCGUAAAGCUCUUUUACCAGGGAUGAUAAUGACAGUACCUGGAGAAUAAGCUCCGGCUAACUCCGUGCCAGCAGCCGCGGUAAUACGGAGGGAGCUAGCGUUGUUCGGAAUUACUGGGCGUAAAGAGUACGUAGGCGGUUAUUCAAGUCAGAGGUGAAAGCCCGGGGCUCAACCCCGGAACUGCCUUUGAAACUAGAUAACUAGAGUCUUGGAGAGGUUAGUGGAAUUCCGAGUGUAGAGGUGAAAUUCGUAGAUAUUCGGAAGAACACCAGUGGCGAAGGCGACUAACUGGACAAGUACUGACGCUGAGGUACGAAAGCGUGGGGAGCAAACAGGAUUAGAUACCCUGGUAGUCCACGCCGUAAACGAUGAUAACUAGUUGUUCGGUCACUUGGUGACUGAGUGACGCAGCUAACGCAUUAAGUUAUCCGCCUGGGGAUACGGUCGCAAGAUUAAAACUCAAAGGAAUUGACGGCUGAGACNGCGAGACGACACGAGGAGAG
rnacentral:rRNA from 1 species